rnacentral:tRNA from 1 species
GCCACUAUAGCUCAGUUGGUAGAGCAACAGCCUCGUAAACUGUAGGUCAUGAGUCCGAUUCUCAUUAGUGGCU